UAAGGAAUAUUGCGCAAUGGGGGAAACCCUGACGCAGCAACGCCGCGUGGAGGAUGACACUUUUCGGAGCGUAAACUCCUUUUAUCAGGAAAGAAUAAUGACGGUACCUGAUGAAUAAGUACCGGCUAACUCCGUGCCAGCAGCCGCGGUAAUACGGGGGGUGCAAGCGUUACUCGGAAUCACUGGGCGUAAAGGACGCGUAGGCGGAUUAUCAAGUCUUUUGUGAAAUCUAGUGGCUUAACCACUAAACUGCUUAGGAAACUGAUAGUCUAGAGUAGGGGGGAGGUAGAUGGAAUUCUUGGUGUAGGGGUAAAAUCCGUAGAGAUCAAGAAGAAUACCCAUUGCGAAAGCGAUCUGCUGGAACCUAACUGACGCUGAGGCGUGAAAGCGUGGGUAGCAAACAGG
rnacentral:rRNA from 1 species